rnacentral:lncRNA from 1 species
CCCAGCUACUCGGGAGGCUAAGGCAGGAGAAUUGCUUGAACCAGGACCCAGGAGGCAGAGGUGGCAGUGAGCUGAGAUUGUGCCACUGCACUCCAGCCUGGGCUACGGAGUGAGACUCCGUCUCAAGAAAAAAAACAAUGGACUAGCUGAAUCCAUUUUUUUUUAAAUUUCUGUAGGUUAUUGGUGAACAGGUGAUGUUUGGUUACAUUAUUAAGUUCUUUAUUGGUGAUUUGUGAGAUUUUGAUGCACCCAUCACCCAAGCAGAAUACACUGCACCCUAUUUGUAGUCUUUUAUCCCUCACCCCCUUCCCACCCUUUCCCCGUGAGUCCCCAAAGUCCAUUGUGUCAUUCUUAUGCCUUUCAUCCUCAUAGCUUAGCUCCCACUUACGAGUGAGAACAUAUGGUGUUUGGUUUUCCAUUCCUGAGUUACUUCACUUAGAAUAGUAAGUCUCCAAUCUCAUCCAGAUCACUGCAAAUGCCAUUAGUUCAUUCCUUUUUAUGGCUGAGUAGUAUUCCAUCAUAUAUAUAAUAUAUAUAAAACACACAUAUAUAAUAUAUGUAUAUAUAAAACACAGUUUCUUUAUCCACUCGUUGAUUGAUGGGCAUUUGGGUUGGUGCCACUGAAUGCAUUUUUAAAAAUAACCCAACUAUAUGGUGCCAUCAAGAAACUCACUUCACUUGUAAAGACACAUACAGACUGAAAGUGAAGGAUGGAAAAAGAUAUUCCACACAUUUCACACAAAUGGAAACCAAAAGUGAGCAGGAAUAGCUAUAGUUAUAUCUGAUAAAACAGACUUUAAGUCAAAAACUAUAAAAAGAUAAAAAGGUCAUUAUAUAUGACAAAUGGAUCAAUUCAGCAAGGGGAUAUAUUAGAUUGGUACAAAAGUAAUUGUAGUUUUUGACAUUAAAAGCAAGAACUGCAAUUACUUUUGCACCAACCUAUAACAAUGCUUGAUAUACAUGUACCCCACACUCGAGCACCCAGCUGUAUAAGGCAAAUAUUACAUCUAUAGGGAGAGAUAGACUUCAAUACAAUAAUAGUUGGGGACUUCAACAAUCUGCUCUCAGCAUUUUUAACAGAUCACCUAGACGGAAGAAUCAACAUAGAAACAUUGGAUUUUAACUGGAUUUUAGUAAGAACAGAAAAUAAAUAAGCUGGACUUUAGAUCAAAUUUGACUUAACAUUUACAAAACAUUUUAUUUUAUCCAAAAGCUGCAGAAUACACAUUCUUCUCAUCAGCACAUGGAACAUUCUCCAGGAUAGGCCAUAUGUUAGGCCACAAAAUAAAUCUCAACACAUUUUAAAAUUAAGAUCAAAUCAAGCAUCUUUUUAAACUACAAUGGAAUAAAAGUAGAAAUAACAGGAGCUUUGGAAACUGUACAAAUACAUGGAAAUUAAACAAUAUGCUCCUGAAUGACCACUGGGUCGAUGAAGAAAUUGAGAGGAAAUUUUUAAAAAUAUGUUUUUAAAUAUUUAAUAUGAAAAUAGAAAUGCAACAUACCCACACCUAUGGGAUACAGAAAAGCAGUGCUAAAAGGGAAGUAUAUAGCACUAAAUGCCUAUAUCACAAAAGCAGAAAUAUUUUAAAUAAACAGCCUAGUGAUACACCUCAAGGAACUAGAAAACCAAUGACAAACCAAACCCAAAAUUAGUAGAAGGAAAAGUAUAGUAAAUAUCAGAACAAAAACAAAAUAGAGACUAAAAAACAAUACAAAGGAUCAAGAGACAAAAAGUGCGUGUUUUAAAAAAAAGAUACACAAAAUUGAUAAACCUCCUAGCUAGACUAACCAUGAAAAAAGGAAGAAGAGUCAAAUAAAAUCAGAAAUGAGAAAGAAGAUAUUAUAACUGAUACCACAGAAACACAAAGGAUCAUCAGAGAUUACUAUGAACAACUAUAGCCAACAAAAUGGAAAACCUAGAGGAAAUGGGUAAAUUCCUGGACACAUACAACCUUCCAAGAUUGAACCUGGAAGAAAUAGAAAACCUGAACAGACCAAUAACUGGUAAUGAGAUUGAAUCAGUAAUAAGUCUCCCAACAAAGAGAAGCCCAGUAGUGGAUGACUUUAUUGCUGAACCCUACCAAACCUAUAGAGAAAAACUAACACCAAUUCUUCACAAACUGUUUAAAAACAAUUGAAGAGGAGGGAAUUUUUCCUAACUCAUUCUACAAGGCCAGCACAACCCUGACACCAAAACCAGAGAAGGACACAACGAAAAAGAAAGCUACAGGCCAAUAUCCCUGAUGAACACAGGCAUAAAAAUCAUCAACAAAAUGCUAGCAAGCUGAAUUCAACAGUACACCAAAAAGAUAAUAUACUAUGGUCAAGUGUGAUUUACCCAAAGAUGCAAGGAUGGUUUAACACAUGCAAAUCAAUAAAUGUGAUGACAUCAGUGGAAUGAAGGAAAAAACUUUAUGAUUAUCUCAAUAGAUGCAGAAAAUUGUUUGAUAAAUUCAGUAUCCCUUCAUGAUAAAAAAAAACUCUCAACAAAUUAGACAUACAAGGAACAUACCUCAACAUAAUAAAGGCCAUAUAUGACAGAUUCACAGCUGACAUCAUACUAAAUGGGGAAAAGCUGAAAGACCUUCUUCUAAAAACUGGAACCAGAGCAGGAUGCCCACAUUCACCACUCUUAUUCAACAUAGCACUAGAAGUUCUAGCCAGAGCAAUCAGGCAAGAGAAAUAAAUAAAAAGCAUCUAAAUUGGAAAAGAGUAAGUCAAAUUGUCUCUUUCUGUAGAUAGCAUGAUCUUAUAUAUAGACAACCUAAAGACUUUACCAAGAAAAACCCUUACAACUGAUAAAUUCAGUAAAAUAUCAGAAUAUAAUAUUAGUAGUAUUUUGAUGCAUCAAUGAUGAAAAAGCUGAAAAAGAAAUCAGGAAGACAAUCCCAUUUACAAUAAUUAAAAGAUAAAAUACCUCGGAUCUAACCAAAAAGGUGAAAGGUCUCUACAAGGGAAACUACAAAACACUAAUGAAAGAAAUAAACAAAUGGAAAGACAUUCCAUGUGCAUGAAUCAGAAGAAUUAAUAUCAUUAAAAUGUUUACCCAAAGUAAACUUGAUUCAAAGCAAUCUCUAUCAAAAUACUAUUGUCAUUUGUCACAGAAAUUGAAAACAAAAAUACCAAAGUUCAUAUGAAAUCAAAAAAGAAUCAGAAUAGCCAAAGCAACCCUGAGCAAAAAAGAAAAAGCUGGAAGCAUCACACUACUUAACUUCAAAACAUUACAGGGCUAUGGUAACCCAAAGAGCAUAGUAUUGAUAUAAACAGACACACAGACCAAUGGAACAGAAUAGAAAACCCAGAAAUAAAUACAUAUAUUUACCACCAACUGAUUUUCACCAAAGGUGCCAAGAAUGUGUAUCAGGGAAGGGAUACCCUCUUCGAUAAAGGGUACUGAGAAAACUGAAUAUUCAUCUGCAAAAUAAUGAAACUAGACCCCUAAUGUCUCACCAUACACAAAAAUUAAAAUGAUUAAAGACAUAAAUAUAAGACCUGAAAUUAUGAAACUACUGGAAGAAACCACAGGGGAAAUGUUUCAGGACAUAGGUCAAGGCAAAAAUUUUGUGGCUAAGAUCUCAAAAACAAAAAUAGACAAAUGGGACUAUAUUAAGCUAAAAAGAUUCUGCAAAACAAAGGAAACAGUCAACAGAGUGAAGAGACAAUCUGUAGAACAGGAAAAUAUGUGCAAACUAUUUAUCCAACAAGGGACUAAUAUUGAGAAUAUACAAGGAAUUCAACAGCAAAAAAAAAAUCCCUUUUAAAAAGUAGGCAAAGGACAUGAAGAGACAUUUCUCAAAAGAAGACAUACAAAUGGCCAAGUAUAUGAAAAAAUGUUUAACAUCACUAGCCAUCAGGGAAAUGCAUAUCAAAACCACAAUGAGAUAUCACCUUACCCCACUUAGAAUGACUAUUAUUAAAAAGACCAAAAAAAAAAUGCUGGCAACAAUAUGGAGAAAAGGGAACUCUUACACACUGUUGGUGGAUAUAUAAAUCACUACAGUCAUUAUGGAAAACAGUAUAGAGGUUUCUCAAAAAAACUGACCACUAAAUCAGACUACUAAAUCCCCACUACUGGGUAUUUACCCAAAAGACAGGAAAUCGGUGUAUCACAGGGACACUUGACCUCCAUGUUUACUGAAGCACUAUUCACAAUAGCCAACAUACGGAAUCAUCUAAGUGUCUAUCAAUGAAUGAAUGAAGAAAGAAAAUGAGACAUACUUACACAAUGGAAUACUGUUUCGCUAUUAAAAAAAUGAAAUUCCGUCAUUUGCAGCAACAUUAAAAAAUGAAAUUCCAUCAUUUGCAGCAACAUGGAUUGGAACUCGAGGUCAUUAUGUUAAGUGAAAUAAGCCAGGAAAACAAAUAUCACAUGUUGUCAGCAAUAUAUGGGAGCUAAAAAAGGUGAUCUCAUGCGAGUAGAAGGAAGAUUGAUAAUUACCAGAGGCUGGGAAGUUGCAGGGGUUGGGGCGACACGGUGUCACGAAGAGAGGUUGGUUGAUGGGUACAAAGUUACAGCUCGAAAGAAGGAAUAAUUUAUAUUGUUCAACAGCACAGUAGGGUGACUAUAGUUAAUAAUAUAUUUUAUAAUAGCUAGAAGAGAAUAUUAUUAUACUUUAAGUUCUGGGGUACAUGUGCAGAACGUGCAGGUUUGUCACAUAGGUAUACAGGUGCCAUGGUGGUUUGCUGCACCCAUCAACCCAUCAUCUACAUUAGGUGUUUCUCCUAAUGCCAUCCCUCCCCUAGACCCCCAUCCCCCGACAGGCCCUGGUGUGUGAUGUUCCCCUCCCUGUGUCCAUGUGUUUUCAUUGUUCAACUCCCACUUAUGAGUGAGAACAUGCGGUGUUCGGUUUUCUGUUCUUGUGUUAGUUUGCUGAGAAUGAUGGUUUCCAGCUUCAUCCAAGUGCCUGCAAAGGACAUGAACUCAUCCUUUUUUUAUGGCUGCAUAGUAUUACAUGGUGUAUAUGUGCCACAUUUUCUUUAUCCAGUCUACCAUUGAUGGGCAUUUGGGUUGAUUCCAAGUCUUUGCCAUUGUGAACAGUGCUGCAAUAAACAUAGGUGUGCAUGAGUCUUUAUAGUAGAAUGAUUUAUAAUCCUUUGGAUAUAUACCCAGUAAUGGGAUUGCUGGGUCAAAUGGUAUUUCUAGUUCUAGAUCCUUGCGGAAUCACCACACUGUCUUCCACAAUGGCUGAACUAAUUUACACUUCCACCAACAGUGUAAAAGCAUUCCUAUUUCUCCACAUCCUCUCAAGCAUCUGUUGUUUCCUGACUUUUUAAUGAUCACCAUUCUAACUGGCACGAGUUGGUUUCUCAAUGUGGUUUUGAUUUGCAUUUCUCUAAUGACCAGUGAUGAUGAGCUUUUUUUCAUGUUUGUUGGCUGCAUAAAUGUCUUCUUUUGAGAAGUGUCUGUUCAUAUCCUUUGCCCACUUUUUGAUGGGGUUGUUUUUUUCUUAUAAAUUUGUUUAAGUUCUUUGUAGAUUCUGGAUAUUAGCCCUUUGUCAGAUGGAUAGAUUGUAAAAAUUUUCUCCCGUUCUGUAGGUUGCCUGUUCACUCUGAUGAUAGUUUCUUUUGCUGUGCAGAAGCUCUUUAGUUUAAUUAGAUCCCAUUUGUCUAUUUUGGCUUUUGUUGCCAUUGCUUUUGGAGUUUGAGUCAUGAAGUCUUUGCCCAUGCCUAUGUCCUGAAUGGUAUUGCCUAGGUUUUCUUCUAGGGUUUUUAUGGUUUUAGGUCUUACGUUUAAGUAUUUAAUCCAUCUUGAGUUAAUUUUUGUAUAAGGUGUAAGGAAAGGACCCAGUUUCAGCUUUCUGCAUAUGGCUAGCCAGUUUUCUCAACACCAUUUAUUAAAUAGGGAAUCCUUUCCCCAUUGCUUAUUUUUGUCAGAUUUGUGAAAGAUCAGAUGGUUGUAGAUGUGUGGUGUUAUUUCUGAGGUCUCUGUUCUGUUCCAUUUGUCUAUAUAUCUGUUUUGGUACCAGUACCAUGCUGUUUUUGUUACUGUAGCCUUGUAGUAUAGUUUGAAGUCAGGUAGCAUGAUGCCUCUACCUUUGUUCUUUUUGCUUAGAAUUGUCUUGGCUAUGUGGGCUCUUUUUUGGUUCCAUAUGAAAUUGAAAGUAGUUUUUUUCCAAUUCUGUGAAGAAAGUCAAUGGUAGCUUGAUAGGGACUGCAUUGAAUCUAUAAAUUACUUUGGGCAGUAUGGAUUUUCACAAUAUUUAUUCUUCCUAUCCAUGAGCAUGGAAUGUUUUUCCAUUUGUGUCCUCUCUUAUUUCCUUGAGCAGUGGUUUGUAGUUCUCCUUGAAGAGAUCCUUCACUUCCCUUGUAAGUUGUAUUCCUAGGUAUUUUAUUUUCUUUGUAGCAAUUGUGAAUGGGAGUUCACUCAUGAUAUGGCUCUCUGUUUGUCUGUAUUGGUGUGUAGGAAUGCUUGUGAUUUUUGCGUGUUGAUUUUGUAUCCUGAGACUUUGCUGAAGUUGCUUAUCAGCUUAAGGAGAUUGUGGGCUGAGACAAUGGGGUUUUCUAAAUAUACAAUCAUGCUGUCUGCAAACAGAGACAAUUUGACUUCCUCUUUUCCUAAUUGAAUACGCUUUAUUUCUUUAUUUCUUUCUCUUGCCUGAUUGCCUUGGCCAGAACUUCCAAUACUGUGUUGAAUAGGAGUGAUGAGAGAGGGCAUCCUUGUCUUGUGCUGGUUUUCAAGGGAAAUGCUUCCAGCUUUUGCCCAUUCAGUAUGAUAUUGGCUGUGGGUUUGUCAUAAAUAGCUCUUAUUAUUUUGAGAUAUGUUCCAUCAAUACCUAGUUUAUUGAGAGUUUUUAUCAUGAAGGGCUAUUGAAUUUUGUCGAAGACCUUUUCUGCAUCUAUUGAGAUAAUCAUGUGGUUUUUGUCAUUGGUUCUCUUUAUGUAAUGUAUUAUGUUUAUUGAUUUGUGUAUGUUGAACCAGCGUUGCAUCCCAGGGAUGAAGCCAACUUGAUCAUGGUACAUAAGCUUUUUGAUGUGCUGCUGGAUUUGGUUUGCCAGUAUUUUAUUAAGAAUUUUUGCAUUGAUGUUCAUCAGGGAUAUUGGCCUGAAAUUUUCUUUUUUUGUUGUGUCUCUGCCAGGUUUUGGUAUCAGGAUGAUGCUGGCUUCAUAAAAUGAGUUAGGGAGGAUUCCCUCUUUUUCUAUUGUUUGGAAUAGUUUCAGAAGGAAUGUUCCCAGCUCCUCUUUGUACCUCUGGUAGAAUUCGGCUGUGAAUCUCUCUGGUCCUGGACUUUCAUUGGUUGGUAGGCUAUUAAUUGCUGCCUCAGUUUCAGAACUUGUUAUAGGUCUAUUCAGGGAUUUGACCUCUUUCUGGUUUAGUCUUGGGAGGGUGUAUGUGUCCAGAAAUUUAUCCAUUUAGAAGAGAAAAUUUUUAAUGUUCCUAGCACAAGAAAAAGAUAAAUGACUGAGGUGAGAGCUAUCCUAAAUACCCUGGUUUGAUCAUUACACCUUGCAUAAUUGUCUCAAAAUAUGACAUAUACCCCAUAAAUGCAUAUAAUUGUUAUAUGUCUAUUAACAAAAUUUUAAAAAUAAGGACUGGAUGUGGGUGAUGAAUAAAUGAGGAUUUGGUAUACUAUUUUCUCUACUUCUUAUGUUCAAAAUAUUUUAUAAUAAGUUAAAAUGAAUAAUAAAAUAACCAAAAAAGAUCUCAAAAACUACUAUAUUUUGUACAUUCAUAUUACAGGCACACUUUAUUGUACUUCGCUUUAUUGCUCUUUGUAGGUAUUGAGUUUUUUACAAAUUGAAAGUUUGUGACAACCCUGUAUCAAGGAAGUCUAUCAGUGCCAUUUUUUUCCAACAGCAUGUGCUCACUUUUUAUCUCUAUGUCUCAUUUGGUAAUUCACAUAAUAUUUCAAACUUUUUCAUUAAUAAAUAACUGUUAUGGUGAUCUGUGAUCAGUGAUAUUUGAUGUUAGUGUUGUACUAUAGGGUGCCAAUAACUCUGCCUAUACAAGAUGGUGUACUUAAUCAAUAAACGUGUAUUCUGACUGCCUUACCCUCCAUUCCCUCAUCUCUUUCCCACUCUCUUCCCUGACACACAACAAACAAUAAUGAAAUUAGGCUAGUUAGUAACCCUACAAUGGCCUAUAAGUGUUCAAGUGAAAGGAAGAGUUGUAUGUCACUCAUUUUAAAUCAAAAGCUAGAAAUGAUUAAGUCUAGUAAGGAAGGCAUGUCAAAAGCUGAAACAGGCUGAAAGCUAGGCCUCU